rnacentral:rRNA from 1 species
AUUGAACGCUGGCGGCAUGCCUUACACAUGCAAGUCGAACGGCAGCACGGGAGCAAUCCUGGUGGCGAGUGGCGAACGGGUGAGUAAAGUAUCGGAACGUGCCCAGUCGUGGGGGAUAACGUAGCGAAAGUUACGCUAAUACCGCAUACGAUCUAUGGAUGAAAGCGGGGGAUCGCAAGACCUCGCGCGAUUGGAGCGGCCGAUAUCAGAUUAGGUAGUUGGUGGGGUAAAGGCUCACCAAGCCGACGAUCUGUAGCUGGUCUGAGAGGACGACCAGCCACACUGGGACUGAGACGCGGCCAGACUCCUACGGGAGGCAGCAGUGGGGAAUUUUGGACAAUGGGCGAAAGCCUGAUCCAGCAAUGCCGCGUGCAGGAAGAAGGCCUUCGGGUUGUAAACUGCUUUUGUACGGAGCGAAAAGGUUCUCUCUAAUACAGAGGGCUCAUGACGGUACCGUAAGAAUAAGCACCGGCUAACUACGUGCCAGCAGCCGCAGUAA